UGAUAGUUAACAUAGUGGUGUAAGUACUAACUUUUGAACUUAGUAGUCAAGGUUCGAGUCUUGAUUAUCUU
rnacentral:tRNA from 1 species